GUGUGGGAGGCCUCCAUCAAUGAACACUGGAUCAUCAAGUGUAGUGAUGGUGACUUCCAGCAACUCCAGGGCUCAGCCAAGCAGCAGCCAUGCAAGGUUGUCCCCUUGAAAGGCCUGUGGGAGAGAGUGGUGCCCCCUUGCUGGAUGUUCACUUUGAUGGGAUCCCGUAGUACACAUGCCCACUUUUGGAAGAGACCUGGCACAUACGCCCGUUCAACUUCACUAAGAACCACACCUUUCACCUGCUGAAGCUGGGUGAUGUCUCUUCACCUACUGCAAUCUCACUUCCUGGGGGAACUGAUGAAGUCCAAGCAUCUUGGACAUCACCACCGUGUUUGAGAGACACAGAUUCCUAUGCUGGUGGAAGGAGAACAUUGGCAGGGAGGCGAUGAUGCUGGUCCCACCAGCUGACUGCAGCUACUGGUCUUCCCAUGGAUGAUCAAGCCCCUGGUCAUCAAGCACU
rnacentral:lncRNA from 1 species